UACGGAGGGUGCAAGCGUUAUCCGGAUUUAUUGGGCUUAAAGGGUGCGUAGGCGGGUUGGUAAGUCAGUGGUGAAAUACUUUCGCUUAACGAAGGAACUGCCAUUGAUACUACCAGUCUUGAAUACAGUGGAGGUAGGCGGAAUGCGUCAUGUAGCGGUGAAAUGCUUAGAUAUGACGCAGAACACCAAUUGCGAAGGCGGCUUGCUGCACUGUUAUUGACACUGAGGCACGAAAGCGUGGGGAUCAAACAGG
rnacentral:rRNA from 1 species